GGGGUCAAAAAGACACCAAGAAAGGAGAAAACCCGAAGCUCAGGCGAGGACUAGGCGAUAGAAAAGCGAAACAGCGAGCUGGAAAUUACCGCUGGUCGCCCGGGCGACGAACGUUCGUAGCCUAGGUGCUGAAAACUGGCGCCCAAGCCUUACAAAAGCCUUGAUUCACGCCCAGGGGAGCUCCUUGCAACGCUUGAGCAUGAUUUGACGCGGAUCGGGCCCUAUUUCUGCUCUGAUUUGAUUCUUUUGGAUCGGGCCACACUUUGGAACACUUUUGGAACUAGUUAAAGGACCCUGGGGCUCUAGGUUUUGC
rnacentral:lncRNA from 1 species